rnacentral:rRNA from 1 species
UUGGUUAAGUCCGCAACGAGCGCAACCCCUACUGCCAGUUACCAACACGUUAUGGUGGGGACGUCUGGCGGAACUGCCGGUGACAAACCGGAGGAAGGUGGGGAUGACGUCAAGUCCUCAUGGCCCUUAUGUCCAGGGCUACACACGUGCUACAAUGGUCGGUACAGAGUGACGCGAAGCCGCGAGGUGAAGCAAAUCGCAGAAAGCCGGCCUUAGUUCGGAUUGGAGUCUGAAACUCGACUCCAUGAAGGUGGAAUCGCUAGUAAUCGCGCAUCAGCAUGGCGCGGUGAAUACGUUCCCGGGCCUU